GCAAACCUGACGAAAGUCGGGCUAAUACUGGAUAGAGCGACGGAAGCCGUAACGGUUUUUUCGGGAAAGGGAGCUAGCAAUAGCCUUCGCUGUAAGAUGAGCCUGCGUCUGAUUAGUUAGUUGGUGGGGUAACGGCCUACCAAGACGAUGAUCAGUAGCUGGUCUGAGAGGAUGAUCAGCCACACUGGAACUGAAACACGGUCCAGACUCCUACGGGAGGCAGCAGUGGGGAAUCUUGCGCAAUGGACGAAAGUCUGACGCAGCAACGCCGCGUGAGUGAAGAAGGCCUUCGGGUUGUAAAGCUCUGUCGCCCGGGACGAAUGUCCCUGAGGUUAAUAGCCUUAGGGAGUGACGGUACCGGGAGAGGAAGCACCGGCUAACUCUGUGCCAGCAGCCGCGGUAAUACAGAGGGUGCAAGCGUUGCUCGGAAUCAUUGGGCGUAAAGGGCAGGUAGGUGGUCUCAUUUGUCUGAGGUGAAAUCCUUGAGCUUAACUCAAGAAGUGCCUUAGAAACGGUGAGACUAGAGUACUGGAGAGGGUCGUGGAAUUCCCGGUGUAGCGGUGAAAUGCGUAGAGAUCGGAAGGAACACCAGUGG
rnacentral:rRNA from 1 species